GGGACAAGCCUGGCCAGGAGAGCCCUGCGGCCUCCGUCCCCGGUCUUGCCUGGCGCGCGCCGUUAAACACAGAGCGGAGCAAAGACGGAAGGAAAUGGUAGCCGAGCACUGGGCGAGGGCAGAGGAUUGCUUGGGCUGCUAUUUUGAAAUGAGACAGAAGAGGAUCAAGGCCCAAUGCAGGAAGACCCUUUAGGAGGCUACUCCGUGAUCCAGGGCACCUAGAACAAAAUUGAACUUUUCUGACAUUAGGCUGUCUCCCCACAACUUGAUGAUGCCCUCAGGCUCUAGUGAGGAAAUCUUACACAAUUGAUUGGAAGAUGCAUAAAGGCGGUGGUAAUCUUUCCGUGGUGACGCAAUUCAUACAACUGCCUGUUCUCUCCCCACCACAGAAUAUCUGCACACAUGGUUUGUUCUGAUACAGACAUAUCCAACCUCUUCAUUCCAAACUACUGUCUCCAAAAGAGAAUGUGGCAAGUGUGUGUAACUGAGUAGCACAUAGAAGGAAGAAGAAGGCAACCGUGGCUGAAAGCGACCCCACUCAAUCUCAUUCAUGCUACUGAAAUUCCCAAAAGAAGCACCACUGUGAUGGAGCCUAUUAUCCGGAUGUCAUUGGUUGGAUCCACCAUCAUCGAAUCACUCUCCUGGAACAACAACAAAAAAAUCACUAAAAUGGGCUUGUGGGGACUAAGUAUCAAUGUACAAAUUUUACUUCCAACAUUAAACCAACUCUAGACAUCACUACAUAAUCAAAGUUUAUAGCCAUAAGUACAUGAAUUGGCUUACCUCCUCUUACUACUCCAUUUGUGCAAAUAGCAGACAUAGAAAUACCUGUGAGUGUUGUCACUACCACACUCAGGCCAAUGAUGAUGACUCCAAGACCUGAAAAAUCCCCCAAGAAAGGUGUUUGGCUCCAGUACUUCAAGAAGUCACCAGUACUUCAGGAGGCAGCAGUCUGAAUCUUGUCAAGGAAGGAACAGUCUCCCUAUGAAAAACCUGAAAUGUUCUAAAAGAUCCCGUUCCAUCUAGGUCUAGGAAGGUCUAGGAAGCACCUGAAAUGUACUAAACUUUAAAACUGAAGCUGUGUCGAGAAGUCAUUUUCCAAGAAACACCAGCAAGAGGUGUGCGGUAGCCUGAAAAAGAAAGCAUUUACCCAAGGAAUUUGAGCAUCUGGAAAUCAUGACCUGCAACGUGCCAGAGAGGACCAUUAGAAAAGAGACCACAGCUGACGAGAGUAGACCAGGACUAUACGCACAGUACCUUGUGUUUCCUUCUGUGUCCAGCUCAUCCACAUAGUUAGCCAGGCUUCAAGAACAUUGGGCUACUUUCUUGUUCCCACCAAAAAGAAGUAUAAUAAAAAGUUUUUGCCUACCCGUAGCAAGUGAUGAGAGCAUUUAGAUAUCUUAGAAAUUUUACCUCCACGAACAAACCCGUUAGUUGCUAUUGCAGAAGUUGACAACCCAGUAAUAGAAGUUACCAUGGUGGAAAGAAGAAUUAUGAGAACUCCAAGACCUGUUAGCAAUGAAAGACAGAAGAUAUUACAUUUUACUUUUCUUCCUUGGAUUCCCUAUUGCUGCAAACUAUACUGCUUUGAAUUUAAGUGUUCACAUCCAGGCCUUGGGCCCCAAUGGAGUUCUUUCAUGCUAAGGAGAAACGGGUUUGCCUGACGUAAAGACCAAGUUGGAGAACUGCUCAUUAUGAUGAAGGAUGGUUUCCAAAAGCAAACACAAUCUAAAAUGCAGCCCUGGAAAGGAAAAGUUGACUUACGCUGGUGUCCUGGGAGAGAAACUACCCUGGCUGCCAAAAGAGAAAACAUAACAUUUGACCUUCUCUCUUGCUGGAGAGGAACCUGAAUGAGAAAGCUGGGGGUUUGACAAAGGUUAAAUCCUUCUCCAUUUUUCUUGCAUCUCUUUUGCCUGGCAGGGGGGAUAAAAAAGGAACCUACUUGGAUUACCUUUGAAAACACUCCGGAAAGGGAUCCUGUGGUGAGGAUCGCCUCUACAUCAUUACAUCACUGUGCAGUUUCAAGUCUGUGUGCCAGUAAAGAUUUGAUAUACGUUGCCUGAGAAUUGUUGGAUGUGCAAUAGUAUUGUACGGAAGGUAAGAAGUCUCCAUACUGACGACUAGAAAGGUAAGCUGAGUAGAAAUAAGAAGUAAGUACUUAUAGAAAAGGUCAAAACCCUUACUGAGUUAUUUUUUUCCUGUGGCCUUAUUUUGAAAAUGAUCUUCCUUGUCAGUAGGAUAGUCUCUGAAUUUAAUGGAGAAGGAAAUAGCUAUGUUUCUCUCAUGUUAAGAACAAACAACUCUCUAGCUUUUCUUUUAGGUUCAACUGAAUAAUUUCAGAUGCUGUCCACUUAGUUUAGCCUAUCUAGCACCUACCUGACUCUUUAAUGGUUGGACUACACUCUGUUAAGCUCCCCGAAAGCAACCUUCUCCAGUAAGGAUUUUGAAAUUAUUAGGGAAUUUUUUUAGAUUCAGCAGUUGAUUAUCAUUAUUAAAGAACAACUUUAUCUUGUUUAGAUGGUCUAAACUGGUGUAAGUCUAGGAUAACGUGUUCUGACAUUACUAGCUAAGAGGCUUAGACAAGGGCAUAUUUUCCCUCUAAAAUGGGACUGGAGUGAUGUAAAUAUUCAGUAUUUAUUAUAAGGACUUUAUUUGGGGGUGACUGAAGUUCUUGCUCUUGCCACGAUCAAGAGUUCUUGCUUCUUUGGGCUUUGGUGUACCAUUAGCAUACCCACUAUAAGAUGACCCUAAUCUGGGCUGUUGACUCCAAGUGAUUUUGAUUCCUUGUCUCCUUCUUCCGGCAAGUCCUCUAAGCAAGGAUUUCUCCCAGUUUUGUUCUCCCAUAAGACUUUUUUCAUGAUACUAGUGUGACACUUGGGUAACCAAUGUAAUAUAAUGUGAUAAGAGUUAUUGUAUGUGAACUGAAUUGGAGGAAGAUGGUGGUAUGGGUUACUUCUCAAUACCAACCAAGGGCCUGCCAUUCAGCAGGCCAUCGAUGAACAGUAUUGAAUUGAAGGCCACCUGAUCUCUACCACUUAAAAACAGAUAACCUAGCUUCUUUUUAUCCAUUCUUGCCUCCUAUUUCUUUUUCUUCCUUCCCUAUUGGGUAUUCCAUUUCUCACUGUUUCCUCUGUGCAGGCCACAUUAAAUAAGAGACAGAGAGGGAAUGAAUCCCAAGUCAGAUCAUCUUACUAUUUUCUGACAGCAUUAGGAAAAAUUUGAAUGGCAUAGGAAGCUGAAAUUCAAGGUUAAAAUUUAGUUUUGAAUUACCUGAGAAAUAUCUUAAUUUUAAUCAUCCUCAGUCCCUAUUUACACAGGUAAUUGAAAGCUGACAUCGUAUAGUCAUAUCAAUGUAAGAUAUGGAUAAACAAAGUCCAUAGAAACUGAGGCUGACCUGGGCAGAAACUGGUGAUUUAUAGCAGCCACAAAUGCAAGUCAUGCAUGUAAUUCAAAAUUUUUCAGUAGGUACUUCAAAAACAGUAAAAAGAAAUUAGUGAAAUAACUUGGGGUCAGAUAUGGAUCCUUACAUUAAAAAAUACAUUUCAUUUUUGUAGAAUAUCAUAUUUCCCAUAUUUGUAAUAUAAAUAUUCAUUAGCAGUAGGGGCACACCACCUUGUAGGAGGGACCUGAAUUACAGACUAUUUUAAUAAUAUACUUUACUUAAUAGAUCUGUGUAAAAUAUUAUGUCAGCAUAUGGUCAUUAUAAAAAUAUUGAUGAGAUAUUAUACAUUCUUUUUUUCCGUACUAUGUCUUUGGAAUCCAGUGUGUGUUUUACACUGAUGAUACAUCUCAAUUUGUACUAAUCAUAUUUCAAGUGCUCAAUAGCCACAUGUGGCUAGAGUUAUCAUAUGGAUCCUCACAUGUCUAUACAAUAUAGUCAAUUACAGAUGGAUGAAAUAUUUGAGGCUGUUCUCCAGUCAAUUAAAAAUUAUAUUUUUAUCUGAAAGGAUUCUACAUUCAUAAGGCAGCUGAGUGCCCCAAAUGUAACUUUUAUUUUGCAUAACUGGAAAAAUCAAUGAGAGCAAGGAAUUGAGGAAUGUGUUAAAAUACUCAUGAAUGUUAAAGAGAUUACUUGAUCAGGAGAUUCAUUUAUUUGAUUUGAUUUGAGAAAAACUUUUAAAUUGUCAAUAUUCUAGUUAAUCAAGAUCCCAUGGCCAGGGCUUCCCUGGUGGCAUAGUGGUUAAGAAUCCGCCUGCCAAUGCAGGGGACACGGGUUUGAGCCCUGGUCCGGGAAGAUCCCACAUGUUGUGGAGCAACUAAGCUGGUGCACCACAACUACUGAAAUCUGCGCGCCUAGAGCCCGUGCUCUGUAACAAGAGAAGCCACUGCAAUGAGAAGCCCACGCACCACAACCAAGGAUAGCCCCUGCUCGCUGCGACUACAGAAAGCCCGCACGCAGCAACGAACACCCAA